rnacentral:pre_miRNA from 1 species
AGUUCCUGCCCAUAAUGAGCUUACAGUCUAAAGUGGGAGAUAGACAUUCAUAUGAAUAAAUAGACCACACUGCUUCUCAAUUAGAAGAACAGCAGCUACCAGUCUUCACAGGAUUUUGUGGCGAUCUCUAGACUGUAAGCUCAUUGUGGGCAGGGAAU